GAGAAGAGAGCUCCGGACAUACUGUAUUUCAAAAUGGUUACUUCCUCCUUCCCCUCCUGGAAGCAUGUGGUAAUUUUUCUCAAAUCUUCACAGAACCUGUUUUUAGGGCAACUGUAAGUACAAAUUAUGAAAGUGUGGACCUCCACUAAGAAUGGGCCAGCUCUGAGAUUUUAAUUCUCACUCUGCCUUUAGCGAUUCAUCAAUUACAAUUUAAUGUCUUCCUACUGACACUGGCUCCCAUUGCACGGUUCUGCACCAGUGCUUCUGCUUCAGGUAGAAAGGCAGGAGAGGCAACAUAGAAUAACAAUGGCCAACAACAAUAAAGAUUGAAUUGUCAGAUAUAAACCCCAAAGAGAAAGUGAGUUACACAAGAAUCUCGGAGGUUGUCCUUGUGUGUUGUUCUAUAACAGCUCUUUAAGUAACAGAAGUAUAAAAGAAAGCAUCACAGGGAUUUCUACUGAUCCUGUCACUCACAGAUGGACAGCACUGUAAUUCGUAACAUACUGGAAUAACAUCUUCCUUCCGCUUCUAGUAUUGCACCUGGUUUCAAACAGUCAACAUGAAACUAAAGUAAUUCUUUAUAGGAAACUGCAAUAAUGAUGAAGAAUGAUGGAGGAAGACCUAUGUAGUUUUAUGUAUUUAUUUUAAACCUGUUUUUAUAAAACAGAUAUCAUGGUCUUCAGAAGAAAUCUCUCUCUCUCAUAUUUUUCUAUAAAC